rnacentral:tRNA from 1 species
UCUAAGGAUGAGUGAAAGUAAAAUUUCACUCUAAAUAAUAUACAUCGGUAAUGUUGACCGUCCUCAUUUCUCUUCUUAAAGUAAUGUUUCCUUCUUGUAGGGCCGGUAGCUCAGUUGGUUAGAGCACACCCUUGAUAAGGGUGGGGUCGAAAGUUCGAGUCUUUCUCGGCCCACCAAAAACCUAAAUGGGGGAUUAGCUCAUCUGGGAGAGCGCCUGAUUUGCAUUCAGGAGGUAGCAGGUUCGAUCCCUGUAUUCUCCACCAGGAAACAUUUAGUUAUUAAAACUGUAAAGAAAAAUAAUUUAUAUCAAUAUCUAUAUCCGAACAUUAAAAGUUAUUAUUUAAUGUUCAAAAUAAAAAUUUGAUCACAACAUAGAUAAAUUUUCUGUUAAAAGAAUUUUUUUCUGUGCAUAAAU